rnacentral:rRNA from 1 species
GAUGAACGCUGGCGGCGUGCCUAAUACAUGCAAGUCGAGCGAACAGACGAGGAGCUUGCUCCUCUGACGUUAGCGGCGGACGGGUGAGUAACACGUGGAUAACCUACCUAUAAGACUGGGAUAACUUCGGGAAACCGGAGCUAAUACCAGAGAAUAUAUUGAACCGCAGGGUUCAAUAGUGAAUGACGGUUUUGCUGUCACUUAUAGAUGGAUCCGCGCUGCAUUAGCUAGUUGGUAAGGUAACGGCUUACCAAGGCAACGAUGCGUAGCCGACCUGAGAGGAUGAUCGGCCACACUGGAACUGAGACACGGUCCAGACUCCUACGGGAGGCAGCAGUAGGGAAUCUUCGGCAAUGGGCGGAAGCCUGACGGAGCAACGCCGCGUGAGUGAUGAAGGUCUUCGGAUCGUAAAGCUCUGUUAUUAGGGAAGAACAAAUGUGUAAGUAACUAUGGACGUCUUGACGGUACCUAAUCAGAAAGCCACGGCUAACUACGUG